ACGAACGCUAUGGAUAUGCUUAACACAUGCAAAGUCGACGGAAUGAAGUGGGGGUGGAUCCAAUUAAUUAGUGGCAACGGGGUGAGUAACACGUGGGUAUAUACCCAUCAGUAGGGGAUAACUUUUAGAGAUAAGAGAUAAUACCGUAUAUUCUAUACGGAGGAAAGAUUUAUCGUUGAUGGAUGAGGCGGCGUCAGAUUAGGUAGUUGGUGAGGUAGUGGCUCACCAAGCAGAAGAUCUGUAGCUGGUUUGAGAGGAUGAUCAGCCACACUGGGAGUGAGACACGGCACAGGCUCAUACGGGAGACAGCAGUGGGGUAUAUUGGACAAUGGGCGAAAGCGAGAUACAGCAAUAGAGAGUGAGUGAUGAAGGCCUUAGGGUUAUAAAACUCUUUUAGCAAGGGAGAUAAAGACGUUACUUGCAGAAAAAGCCCCGGGUAAAUCCGUGCCAACACCCCCGGUAAGACGGGGGGGGCUAGCGUUAUUCGGAAUUACUGGGCGUAAAGAGUGCGUAGGCGGUUUAAUAAAUUGGAAGUGAAAGCCCGGGGCUUAACCUGGGAAUUGCUUUCAAAACUAUUAAUAUAGAGUGUAGUAGGGGAUGAUGGAAUUCCUAGUGUAGAGGUGAAACUCCUAGAUAUUAGGAGGAACACCGGUGGCGAAGGCGGUCAUUUGGGGUGCAAAUGACG
rnacentral:rRNA from 2 species